rnacentral:rRNA from 1 species
AUUGAACGCUGGCGGCAGGCCUAACACAUGCAAGUCGAGCGAGCGGCGGACGGGAGAGUAAUGUAUGGGGACUGCCUGAUGGGGGGGGAUAACCACUGGAAACGGUAGAUAAUACCGCAAACCAGAAUGUCACCCAUAUGGGAAAAGCGUGUAGGUGAGGUAACGGCUCACCUAGGCGACGAUCCCUAGAUGGUCUGAGAGUAAGAUCGGCCACCUGGGGACUGAGACACGGCCCAGACUCCUACGGAGGCAGCAGUGGGGAAUAUUGCACAAUGGGCGCAAGCCUGAUGCAGCCAUGCCGCGUGUAUGAAGAAGGCCUUCGGGUUGUAAAGUACUUUCAGUCGGGAGGCGUUACCGACAGAAGAAGCACCGGCUAACUCCGUGCCAGCAGCCGCGGUAAUAC